ensembl:lncRNA
UAUUCAUAGUUCCCCUUUAAAUCUUCAGAUCAUGUGUGGGACCUGGCUAGCAUAAAGCACACUGUUACACAGUUACAGUUACACAGUUACACUGUUAGUUACACUGUUACAGUUUCACUGUUACACUGUUACUGUUACACUGUUACUGUUACACUGUUACACAGUCCAGGUGAAUGCCUCUUUAAACCGUCCAGUUUAAAGACUCUUCUGUGUUUUCAGGGUUGCUAAUGGUUACAGUGGUUACACAUUAUCUAGCUGCUGUGCCGGCUGGGUGUCGGGUAAACAUGGAGGAGUCUUGGUUUAGAGAGCAGGAGGAAUGUCAGUGGUGCUGAUAAUUACAGAGCGAGAGCUGCACAACAAGACCUCUGACACUGACGGGAGCGAGGUGGAGAGGCAGGCAUCAGAUGAGCCUCAGAGUCUGGUAUGCAGGAAUGUGCCCCCCCUCGGCGGCUCCGAGGAGGAGGAAGAGGAAGAGGAGGGGGUUUUGCGUGUUCCCGUCGUUUCUCCAUCCAGACUGAUUCACAUUAUCUCCAACUGCACAUGAGCGAAGGCCUGGAAACAGCACAGAGACUUUUGUUUUUUUACCCGAUGUGUUUACUCGUGCUUCUUGUGUAACUUUGCCGUGUUGUCCCCGCGUCUGAAGUGGACUCGCUGGUGCGUGUCCAGCAGGGCCUUGUGAGCACGUCUCUCUCUCUGUAGCUGCUGUCGCUCUGUCAGCCCUGCACUGCUCGUCCGGAGACGUGCAUCCUCUCACCAGUGCAUCACCGCUCUAACUGACACUUUAGCUUGUUUCACCGCGAAGAAGGAAGUUGAGAUGUCCCUCUUUGUCCCCGCCCACUCCUGACACUGUUUACUCAGGUGUAAUUUAUUCAGACUGAAUUAGACCUUUGCUGCGGCCGGCAUGUGCAGAGGGAGAGGAGACGUUUGGGGAAGUGUAUGAUUUUGUGAACAGAAACGAUCUUCCUGUCUGUGUUUUUAGAAGUUGGACUUGGGCUUCCCUCAAUCUUGCUGAGCUAAAUUUGUAUCCUCUUCCUAACUGAAAAUACAAGCUCGCAAAAAAAGGAAGAAAAAAGAGGGAACGUGGCCCAUCACGACUUGAAGGAGACACUCGUCUGUGUCGGCUUUCAGAUGAUGAUUUCUGUCUGUUCUUAUCUGUCUCAGGGUCAUGUGUACUUGCUGAAGGAAGGGUUACAUCUUUUGUUAUCGCUCGUCUGAAAACAGAUUUCAUUCUAGUGAAUGUACUUUUUUUUUUGUGAUACAAACUCUUCUUUAUGUCGUUUUGCCAAGUGGAAAAUGUCUGAUUGUGCUUAAAAGCGUCGGUCAUAUCUGAAACAGAAAUGUUGCCAAAACCUGAAUAUCUAACUUUAGUGUUGUUAUGGAUUUAAAUAACAAAACUUAGUGUGAUAGCCUUGUAGCUGCAAUAGUGAUUUUUUCUUUCCGUGUCUACAGAAGUCUUUGGUGUGUAUAGUUUUGUACAUUUGCCUCGUAAUUCAUUUGUAGAAGGUUUUAAAUUUGCACAACUCUCUUAAUUGUCUUAAUUUUGUAUCUUUUGUCUUAACCCGGUCGGGUAGUGUGAGUAAUCGAAGCCUUUUUGUAGCAAAUCGUCAAAAAUAUGUUAAUUUGCUCUCUGUGCAAGUCUCCGAUGUAUGGCAGUAUACUCUAGAUAUACUGAUAUAUUAAGCUAUUACUGAAACAGUCUGUUACUACUUGUUCUAUAGUUUGUUACUUUUCAAUAAAUGUCAUCUUGUUGGACUCGUGCUCGUCCU